UAGGGAAUCUUCGGCAAUGGACGAAAGUCUGACCGAGCAACGCCGCGUGAGUGAAGAAGGUUUUCGGAUCGUAAAACUCUGUUGGUAGAGAAGAACGUUGGUGAGAGUGGAAAGCUCAUCAAGUGACGGUAACUACCCAGAAAGGGACGGCUAACUACGUGCCAGCAGCCGCGGUAAUACGUAGGUCCCGAGCGUUGUCCGGAUUUAUUGGGCGUAAAGCGAGCGCAGGUGGUUUAUUAAGUCUGGUGUAAAAGGCAGUGGCUCAACCAUUGUAUGCAUUGGAAACUGGUAGACUUGAGUGCAGGAGAGGAGAGUGGAAUUCCAUGUGUAGCGGUGAAAUGCGUAGAUAUAUGGAGGAACACCGGUGGCGAAAGCGGCUCUCUGGCCUGUAACUGACACUGAGGCUCGAAAGCGUGGGGAGCAAACAGGAUUAGAUAG
rnacentral:rRNA from 1 species